AUUGCCCUAGUAACGGCGAGUGAAGCGGCAACAGCUCAAAUUUGAAAUCUGGCCCCCUAUGCGGGGUCCGAGUUGUAGUUUGCAGAGGGAGCUUUGGUAUCCGGAGGCGUUCUAAGUCCCUUGGAACAGGGCAUCACAGAGGGUGAGAAUCCCGUACGUGAGCGCUUCCUUUGCCGUGUAAAGCCCCUUCGACGAGUCGAGUUGUUUGGGAAUGCAGCUCUAAAUGGGAGGUAAAUUUCUUCUAAAGCUAAAUACUGGCCAGAGACCGAUAGCGCACAAGUAGAGUGAUCGAAAGAUGAAAAGCACUUUGGAAAGAGAGUCAAAUAGCACGUGAAAUUGUUGAAAGGGAAGCGCUUGCAGCCAGACGUGCCCGCAGUUGCUCACCCGGGCUCUCGCCCGGGGCACUCUUCUGCGGGCAGGCCAGCAUCAGUUUGGGCAGCCGGAUACAGGCCUCUGUCACGUAUCUUCCUCCGGGAUGACCUUAUAGGGGAGUCGUAACACGGUUAGCCCGGACUGAGGUCCGCGCAUCCGCUAGGAUGCUGGCGUAAUGGCUGUAAGCGGCCCGUCUUGAAACACGGACCAAGGAGUCUAACAUCUAUGCGAGUGUUUGGGUGUCAAGCCCGGGCGCGCAAUGAAAGUGAACGGAGGUGGGAACCCUCUCGGGGGCGCACCAUCGACCGAUCCUGAUGUCUUCGGAUGGAUUUGAGUAAGAGCAUAGCUGUUGGGACCCGAAAGAUGGUGAACUAUGCUUGAAUAGGGUGAAGCCAGAGGAAACUCUGGUGGAGGCUCGCAGCGGUUCUGACGUGCAAAUCGAUCGUCAAAUUUGGGCAUAGGGGCGAAAGACUAAUCG
rnacentral:rRNA from 1 species